rnacentral:rRNA from 1 species
CCGGAAAGAAAGCGAGAGUGACGGUACCUGCAGAAAAAGCACCGGCUAACUACGUGCCAGCAGCCGCGGUAAUACGUAGGGUGCAAGCGUUAUCCGGAAUUAUUGGGCGUAAAGAGCUCGUAGGCGGUUUGUCGCGUCUGCUGUGAAAACUAGAGGCUCAACUUCUAGCUUGCAGUGGGUACGGGCAGACUAGAGUGCGGUAGGGGAGAUUGGAAUUCCUGGUGUAGCGGUGGAAUGCGCAGAUAUCAGGAGGAACACCGAUGGCGAAGGCAGAUCUCUGGGCCGUAACUGACGCUGAGGAGCGAAAGAGUGGGGAGCAAACAGGCUUAGAUACCCUGGUAGUCCACUCCGUAAACGUUGGGAACUAGUUGUGGGGGCCUUUCUACGGUCUCCGUGACGCAGCUAACGCAUUAAGUUCCCCGCCUGGGGAGUACGGCCGCAAGGCUAAAACUCAAAGGAAUUGACGGGGACCCGCACAAGCGGCGGAGCAUGCGGAUUAAUUCGAUGCAACGCGAAGAACCUUACCAAGGCUUGACAUAUACCGGAAACGGCUGGAAACAGUCGCCCCCUUGUGGUCGGUAUACAGGUGGUGCAUGGUUGUCGU